UGGGCCUUUGGCUUCCUGUCACACAGCCGUGCGACAAGGGGCAGGUUUCUGAAGGACCAGAGAGAAAAGGGGUCUGUUGUUCUCGGGGGCACAGGCUUGCUGGUGGCAUCCCGCACAGACACUCUCUCCUCACAGCUCCCACCACGGGGACUGGAGGCAGGAGGAGCCGACGGGCCCCUGGAACGGCCGCGGUGCGUCCCGAGGUGGGAGCCGCAAGCCCGAGGCUCGGCCGAGUCCCAGGGGACCCUAACGGAGGCCGGGCUGGAAGGCCAAGGUGGCUGCCACGUGGGAAGGUAUCCUUGACGUCCAGACCCUGGAGAAGGAAUCGGGAGCCACCACCCAAAGCAACUGUCCAGGAAAAGUGGUCGCGCUUCAGCCAUCGCGCUGGGCUAGGUCUUCCAAGCGAACCCCCUGUUGGAGCCUCUGCCGUCUAACGUCACCUAAUGUAGCCGAACCUGCCAAGACCCUGGCUACUUAACUGGAACCCAGACCAGGGCGAUCCCCGAGUGUUGCGAGCCCACCUUCCUCUUCCUCGACGGUGGCUCCAGCCCCUUCAUGUCGCCUCCAAGCUCCUGCCCAAGUGUUCCCACCCGCACUGCUGGGAGCAGCUCCUCUGUGUUUUCAGGGCCACUUUGCUGUCGUCCUUUGAAGGUUCUCUUGGCGACUCUAGGAAGACUCCGUGGUACAGGUGACCUUCUGUAUCUGUGGAGGAUCGGUUCCCAGAUACCCCCGCCCACGGAUCCCAAAAUCCCAGGAGCCAAGCCUUGUCUAAAGUGCCGGAGUGCAGCCUGGCCUCCAGAACGCGUGAGAACAGAGCAGCCGUACUCUGUUUCCAACGAGCCGAUGGCCAAAGCCCCGCUGUGCGUGUUCUCUAUGGACUGAACAGCCAGUGGCCCUGUAGCAGUGAAGCCUCACACCGUCCUCCAGGCUGGAAGGGACUCUUGAGUCACAGAACUUGCCAGUUUGCAAACAUGUCUCUAGUUGUAACAACUUUCAUCUGUCAAAUGAGGGCUCUUCAUUUCUAAGGUUCUAGAAGCCGGCCGUGGUCAUUUAGUCCCUCAGCUGGGUGUACUGAAAUCUGGGCCAGAGGCACAGCUUCCUCGCUAAGACACCCCCCCACCCCAGCACCCUGCACACACACACAGGCAGAGGCCAAGCUGCCUGCCUCCCCGCACCCCCUAGAAUGCUGACCACUGGGGACCGAGGGGCAGUUCCUACCUUUUACAUCCUUACAUACUGAAUCUGGCGCUGGCUCCUGGGCUGCAUCUUCUUAACUGCAAACACUCUAUACCAUCCCUCUCUGGUUCCACCAGCCACCACCCUCCUUCCGUGUCCUCCUCUGAACGUGCCUGAUAAAGGCUUUUGAGUGACUGAAUGAGUGGACGGCUCCCAUCUUCUGUCAUCUCAAUGAGUGCUGCUCCCCAGCUGACUGGAACCAGACGCCCUAGUUCCCAGGCUGGGUUUCCCUCCAGAUGUGUUCUCCUGCGGUGUCGGUUCCACCGUUAAACAGCUGUAUCACUCAGCAGGUAUGCAACGUUGAUGCGCCUCCAUUUCCUCCUCUGCAGAAUUGUGGGAGUUCCUGUCGUGGCUCAGCAGAAUCCGGCUUGUAUCCACAAGGAUGCGGGUUCUAUCCCUGGCCUCGCUCGGUGAAUCUGGGAUCCAGCCUUGCCGUGAGCUGUGGUGUAGGCCGGAAGCUGUAGCUCCAAUUUGACCCCUAGCCUGGAAACUUCCACAUGCUGAGGGUUCGGCCUUAAAAACAACAACGACAACAAAAUAGUACUUACGUCAUAGGCUUGCUGUCAGCAUUAAAUGAGAGAGUCUGUUAAAAACGCCGAGAACAUUGCCUGGCAAUAUACAUUGCAGAAUACUCAAUAAAUAUUAGCUGGUGUUAUUUCAUACUUCAUCAAAC
rnacentral:lncRNA from 1 species